rnacentral:rRNA from 1 species
GACGAACGCUGGCGGCGUGCUUAACACAUGCAAGUCGAACGGAGAGGCCCUUCGGGGUACUCGAGUGGCGAACGGGUGAGUAACACGUGGGUGAUCUGCCCUGCACUUUGGGAUAAGCCUGGGAAACUGGGUCUAAUACCGAAUAGGACCACGCGCUUCAUGGUGUGUGGUGGAAAGCUUUUGCGGUGUGGGAUGGGCCCGCGGCCUAUCAGCUUGUUGGUGGGGUAAUGGCCUACCAAGGCGACGACGGGUAGCCGGCCUGAGAGGGUGACCGGCCACACUGGGACUGAGAUACGGCCCAGACUCCUACGGGAGGCAGCAGUGGGGAAUAUUGCACAAUGGGCGCAAGCCUGAUGCAGCGACGCCGCGUGAGGGAUGACGGCCUUCGGGUUGUAAACCUCUGUCAAUAGGGACGAAGCGCAAGUGACGGUACCUAUAGAAGAAGCACCGGCCAACUACGUG